ACCAGAAUAACCCAGCAAAUGGUCAUUGUUAUAAGUACCACGGUGAAAGUGAUCUCGAUUGGUUUGCUGGGAGGAUUGUAUGUAACAAUGAAGGAGGUCACCUGGUUUCUAUUGCAGACCAAGAUGAGA
rnacentral:ribozyme from 1 species